UGGCUGUCGUCAGCUCGUGUUGUGAAAUGUUGGGUUAAGUCCCGCAACGAGCGCAACCCUUAUUGUCAGUUGCCAGCAUUAAGUUGGGCACUCUAGCAAGACUGCCGGUGACAAACCGGAGGAAGGUGGGGAUGACGUCAAGUCCUCAUGGCCCUUACGGGUUGGGCUACACACGUGCUACAAUGGUCGGUACAGAGGGUUGCCAAGCCGCGAGGUGGAGCUAAUCCCAUAAAACCGAUCGUAGUCCGGAUCGCAGUCUGCAACUCGACUGCGUGAAGUCGGAAUCGCUAGUAAUCGCGAAUCAGAAUGUCGCGGUGAAUACGUUCCCGGGCCUUGUACACACCGCCCGUCACACCAUGGGAGUGGGUUGCACCAG
rnacentral:rRNA from 1 species